rnacentral:lncRNA from 1 species
GAAGAACCGCUAGGGCCUCGUGCAUGAGAGGACUCGCCAACGCUUGUUGUUAUGGGUGCUUAAUGAUGCAUUGAUGGAGAUGCCCACGUCUAAAAUCUGAGCGUACGACCUGCAUGCAAGAGGCCUUGAUUAGUGGUAAUUAAGAAAUAGCUAAAACCGAUUCUGCAUGCGACGGGAGUUUCCAUCUUCCAUGGACUAUUUUUGGCAUGCAAUUGAUUGCCGUGCUGUGUGCUUGUGCAGGCGACGCCGGAAGGAUGUGUUCCCAAUGGGGGCCGUCAUCGAGCCGGCAGCGUCGGUGAACACCAGCGGGAGGUGCGUCUCCACCAUGGAGCUCACUAUCUAUCGGAUGACCGGGACGAAGAGCUUCACGGCGCGGACGCCGCCGUCGAUCAGGCGAUCGGCUGGCGAAGACCCGUGGUGUGGAGGC